GCCAGUGGUGAACUCCACAUCCGCAUCCUUUGCUGAGGAUACGGUUAACGGAGCGAAAGCGACGUUCAACCGCAAAACAAGCAGAGGGGGCUUAGUGGUGGGGUGACUGCGUACCUUUUGUAUAAUGGGUCAGCGACUUAUAUUCUGUAGCAAGGUUAACCGUAUAGGGGAGCCGGAGGGAAACCGAGUCUUAAUUGGGCGUUAAGUUGCAGGGUAUAGACCCGAAACCCGGUGAUCUAGCCAUGGGCAGGUUGAAGGUUGGGUAACACUAACUGGAGGACCGAACCGACUAAUGUUGAAAAAUUAGCGGAUGACCUGUGGCUGGGGGUGAAAGGCCAAUCAAACCGGGAGAUAGCUGGUUCUCCCCGAAAGCUAUUUAGGUAGCGCCUCGUGAAUUCAUCUCCGGGGGUAGAGCACUGUUUCGGCUAGGGGGCCAUCCCGGCUUACCAACCCGAUGCAAACUGCGAAUACCGGAGAAUGUUAUCACGGGAGACACACGGCGGGUGCUAACGUCCGUCGUGAAGAGGGAAACAACCCAGACCGCCAGCUAAGGUCCCAAAGUCAUGGUUAAGUGGGAAACGAUGUGGGAAGGCCCAGACAGCCAGGAUGUUGGCUUAGAAGCAGCCAUCAUUUAAAGAAAGCGUAAUAGCUCACUGGUCGAGUCGGCCUGCGCGGAAGAUGUAACGGGGCUAAACCAUGCACCGAAGCUGCGGCAGCGAACGUAUCACCCAAGACAACUUUACGGAGUUGACGAUUGACGGAGCGAAGCGACGUCAAAGCGUUCAUUAAAGUCGAGUUGGCUUAGGGAUACGUUCGUUGGGUAGGGGAGCGUUCUGUAAGCCUGUGAAGGUGUGUCGUGAGGCAUGCUGGAGGUAUCAGAAGUGCGAAUGCUGACAUAAGUAACGAUAAAGCGGGUGAAAAGCCCGCUCGCCGGAAGACCAAGGGUUCCUGUCCAACGUUAAUCGGGGCAGGGUGAGUCGACCCCUAAGGCGAGGCCGAAAGGCGUAGUCGAUGGGAAACGGGUUAAUAUUCCCGUACUUGGUGUUACUGCGAAGGGGGGACGGAGAAGGCUAUGUUGGCCGGGCGACGGUUGUCCCGGUUUAAGCGUGUAGGUGUGUGUUCCAGGUAAAUCCGGUUCACUUUAACACUGAGGCGUGACGACGAGGCACUACGGUGCUGAAGCAACAAAUGCCCUGCUUCCAGGAAAAGCCUCUAAGCAUCAGGUAACACGAAAUCGUACCCCAAACCGACACAGGUGGUCAGGUAGAGAAUACCAAGGCGCUUGAGAGAACUCGGGUGAAGGAACUAGGCAAAAUGGUGCCGUAACUUCGGGAGAAGGCACGCUGACACGUAGGUGAAGUGAUUUACUCAUGGAGCUGAAGUCAGUCGAAGAUACCAGCUGGCUGCAACUGUUUAUUAAAAACACAGCACUGUGCAAACACGAAAGUGGACGUAUACGGUGUGACGCCUGCCCGGUGCCGGAA
rnacentral:rRNA from 1 species